CUGAAACAUAAAGAUAUGGUACAAAAAGGAUGAGAAUCAUCUCAAAUCUUAGCUUUAAAUAUCUGUGUCUUUAGACUAUUACAGGACUGAAUGAGCUCACGGACACUUUUAAAAGGGGGAAGCACUGGAACGAGUUCAGCUCGGACUGCGCUCGCACUACAUUAGGUCAAUGCUGUCUCUCUGGUGUGUGGACAUUGGAUUGCAGUCCCUCUAGCAUUCCAGCUGUAAACAGUAUUUGGGAGUUUUUACACAGCUUUGCUCCGUUUCUUUUUAAUAUCCAACAUCUUGGCCAUGGAUCAUUGAGCUUUCAUAACAAAAUGCAACCAAACAAGUCCCGCUUCUGCCCCCUCUUUGGGUCAUCCAUCCGUCCCGUUGUUUUCUCAGCCGAUCUCCUUUUAGUCUUUCUCUCUCUGAGGGAAUGCAAUACACUGUCGGCCCUCAGUUUGUCGAUAUGAAUCUAUUUACAUUUUUGUGUAUUAUAUAAUAUUACUGUUAAUGACUGAUAAAUAUACAGAACUUAUUUUUAUUUUGUUACAUUUCAUAUAUACAUAAAUAUAUAUAUAUAUAUAUCUUUAAAAUGUUUACAAUAAGAUUUUUGUAAAUUUUUUUCUUUUCUUUUUUCUUUUUUUAAUUUUCUGAGUGAUUAAGUGAAUGAAGAGUUGGAAACGCAGACAUGUUUCCACGCAGGAGAGUGUCAGUGCUGUCUGCUUGUAGUCUAGGUAUUAGUUUACAGUAUUGAUCAUAAUAGUAUUGAUAGCUGCCGUUUAAACCUAGUGGAAAAUGGAAUGUGCAUCACGAGCAUGUCUUCAUAAUUUACCGCCAAUGUAAAGCAUCACACUGCAACUGUAAAAAGGCCAAGGAUCCAAGCUGCCUGUCAUGUCUGUACACCACCAAAUUAAGAACGGUAUACUAUUAAAAUGUAUCUUAGAUUAUCUCUAUAUAAAUACAUAUAUUGUUAAGCUGUACCAACAGUUCAAAGUAUUUGCUAAUUUUACUACUUUUGUUAUGUAUAUGUAGGGGGAGUCUUAUGGCAUAUAAAUUCUUUCAAAUUGAGUCAGGAGUUUAAAAGCAGACUAUAUUUUAUAACGGCCUUUUAAGUUAUUGUGGCCAAAGCACUGAUAUUAUAUAUUUGCUGUAAAGAGAAUUUAAGAGUUUUAUUUUUCUGAUAUUAAAGUUACUUAAUAAAGACGGUUUCAUUUAAAGCCA
ensembl:lncRNA